GACGAACGCUGGCGGCGUGCUUAACACAUGCCAGUCGAACGGAAAGGCCCUGCUUUUGUGGGGUGCCCGAGUGGCGAACGGGUGAGUAACACGUGAGUAACCUGCCCUUGACUUUGGGAUAACUUCAGGAAACUGGGGCUAAUACCGGAUAGGAGCUCCUGCUGCAUGGUGGGGGUUGGAAAGUUUCGGCGGUUGGGGAUGGACUCGCGGCUUAUCAGCUUGUUGGUGGGGUAGUGGCUUACCAAGGCUUUGACGGGUAGCCGGCCUGAGAGGGUGACCGGCGACAUUGGGACUGAGAUACGGCCCAGACUCCUACGGGAGGCAGCAGUGGGGAAUAUUGCACAAUGGGCGGAAGCCUGAUGCAGCAACGCCGCGUGCGGGAUGACGGCCUUCGGGUUGUAAACCGCUUUCGCCUGUGACGAAGCGUGAGUGACGGUAAUGGGUAAAGAAGCACCGGCUAACUACGUG
rnacentral:rRNA from 1 species